rnacentral:rRNA from 1 species
CGAGAUGGCUUGGUGCUCGAAAGAGAACCUGGACACAGGUGCUGCAUGGCCGUCGUCAGCUCGUGUCGUGAGAUGUUGGGUUAAGUCCCGCAACGAGCGCAACCCUUAUCAUUAGUUGCUACGCAAGGGCACUCUAAUGAGACUGCCGGUGACAAACCGGAGGAAGGUGGGGAUGACGUCAGGUCAUCAUGGCCCUUAUGGGUAGGGCUACACACGUCAUACAAUGGCCGGUACAGAGGGCUGCCAACCCGCGAGGGGGAGCUAAUCUCAGAAAACCGGUCGUAGUCCGGAUCGCAGUCUGCAACUCGACUGCGUGAAGUCGGAAUCGCUAGUAAUCGCGGAUCAGCUUGCCGCGGUGAAUACGUUCCCGGGUCUUGUACACACCGCCCGUCACACCAUGGGAGCGGGUUCUGCCAGAAGUAGUUAGCCUAACCGCAAGGGGGGCGAUUACCACGGCAGGGUUCGUGACUGGGGUGAAGUCGUAACAAGGUAACCGU